GACGAACGCUGGCGGCAUGCCUAACACAUGCAAGUCGAACGAAACCUCCGGGUGUUGGGGCGCACGGGUGCGUAACGCGUGGGAACCUGCCCUUAGGGUCGGAAUAACUCCCCGAAAGGGGUGAUAAUACCGGAUAAUGUCUUAGGACCAAUGAUUUAUCGCCUUUGGAUGGGCCCGCGUUGGAUUAGCUAGUUGGUAGAGUAAAAGCCUCCUAAGGCGACGAUCCGUAGCUGGUCUGAGAGGAUGGUCAGCCACACUGGGACUGAGACACGGCCCAGACUCCUACGGGAGGGAGGAGUGGGGAAUAGUGGACAAUGGGCGAAAGCCUGAUCCAGCAAUGCCGGGUGAGUGAUGAAGGCCUUAGGGUUGUAAAGCUCUUUUAACCGGGAUGAUAAUGACGGUACCGGGAGAAUAAGCCACGGCUAACUCCGUG
rnacentral:rRNA from 1 species